AUGAACAAGGUAGUAUCACUUGUUGUAGUGGUGGCCAUUGAUCUCAACGUUGACCUCUGGGCAGUUUCCUUCUGCAAGCCUUCAGAACACCAAAGAACAUUGAAGCGCGUUGAUGCCAUUGUGAGAGCCAGCCAUGCCGAAAAAAGAAUGUCAAAUCCAAAGAUCUUGAGAAGCCACAGCCUCAAGUAUGAUAGUGCAAGCUUUGACAUGCCCCCCUAUACUGCCCCUGCCAAGCAGACUGACAGUUCUUACACUUCCGGUGCAUACAAUCUAUACUACCAACAACCAGGUUGUAUCUGCAACAUUUGA
rnacentral:rRNA from 1 species